rnacentral:rRNA from 1 species
ACGUCUGGUUCAGGGUUGUUGAAGAAAUUCUACUCUAGUCAAGUUGCAUAUGCAAUAAACAUAGAGGAAAAACAUGAAUGUAUGACAUGAUAUAAUAUCUAUGCUUCUCUAUGUAUGCGACGACUAGAUUUGUCAAACGGUAUUCGUCAAGACGAUGAUUCCCGUUUUAGUGAAGAAUUACGACAAUGGCAACAUUUAGUAAUAAUGUACAUACAGUGAAUAUGUAUGGAUGUAUUAUUAUACCGAAUAUAAUAUAUGAUGAUAUGUGCCUAUGCUAGUGAUGUUGUUACCACCAUCGUUAAUGUUGAUUAUCAAUGGGUAUCAUUGAAAAUCAUGAAUAUAAAUCGAAAAAAAAAAAAGAGAAUCAUUGAUGAUGGAUGACAUGUAUUCGACGGUAAUAACAAAGCUAUUAACACUAGACAUAGAUAAUGCAAGUUGAGCACAAAAUUCUCAUCAUCAUUAUUACUAGGUUUACAAUCACUUGUAAAACGCAACCUGAACUCAGAUGUGAUUACCCGCUGAACUUAAGCAUAUCAUUUAGCGGAGGAAAAGAAACUAA